rnacentral:misc_RNA from 1 species
UGGUUCUGGCAUCGAUGAAGAACGCAGCGAAAUGCGAUAAGUAAUGUGAAUUGCAGAAUUCAGUGAAUCAUCGAAUCUUUGAACGCACAUUGCGCCCGCCAGUAUUCUGGCGGGCAUGCCUGUCCGAGCGUCAUUUCAACCCUCGAGCCCCCCGGGCUUGGUGUUGGGGACCGGCGACCGCGCGGCGGCUGUACUGCCCCGCGCCCGCCGCCCCCGAAAUGAAUUGGCGGUCUCGUCGCGGCCUCCUCUGCGUAGUAGCACACACCUCGCAACAGGAGCGCGGCGCGGCCACUGCCGUAAAACGCCCCAACUUCUUUUAGAGUUGACCUCGGAUCAGGUAGGAAUACCCGCUGA